AUGAAGCCGGAAUUGCUAGUAAUGGCAGGUCAGCAUACUGCCGUGAAUACGUUCCCGGGCCUUGUACACACCGCCCGUCACACCAUGAGAGUUGGGAAUACCCGAAGCCUGUGAGCUAACAUUUAUGAGGCAGCAGUCGAAGGUAGAAUCAAUGAUUGGGGUGAAGUCGUAACAAGGUACC
rnacentral:rRNA from 1 species